rnacentral:rRNA from 1 species
AACUAACGCUGGCGGCGCGUCUUAAACAUGCAAGUCGAACGGUAGUCCUUGAGCUUGCUUAGGGAUGAGAGUGGCGAACGGGUGAGUAACACGUGGAUAAUCUGCCUCCGGGUUGGGGAUAACUGUCCGAAAGGAUAGCUAAUACCGAAUGAGAUGGCGGUUACAUAAGUAGCAGCCAUUAAAGGUGGGGACCGCAAGGCCUACUGCCUGGAGAUGAGUCCGCGGCUGAUUAGCUAGUUGGUGGGGUAACGGCCUACCAAGGCGACGAUCAGUAGCCGGCCUGAGAGGGUGAACGGCCACAUUGGGACUGAGAUACGGCCCAGACUCCUACGGGAGGCAGCAGUUAAGAAUCUUGCACAAUGGGCGCAAGCCUGAUGCAGCGACGCCGCGUGAAUGAUGAAGGCCUUCGGGUUGU